rnacentral:rRNA from 1 species
UACAGAGACUGCAAGCGUUAUUCGGAUUCACUGGGCGUAAAGGGUGCGCAGGCGGUUGGGUGUGUCAGAUGUGAAAUCCCGAGGCUUAACCUCGGAACUGCGUCUGAAACUACUCGACUAGAGUACUGGAGAGGGAAACGGAAUUCACGGUGUAGCAGUGAAAUGACGUAGAUAUCGUGAGGAACACCAGAGGCGAAGGCGGUUUCCUGGACAGUUACUGACGCUCAGGCACGAAAGCAUGGGGAGCAAAGGG